UCUCCAGUAAGGCCCACGCUAAUUAGGGUAGAGGAAUGAAAUCUUAUCCUAAAUACAAGACAGUUUUUCCUCUAGCAGAAGAAAAACAGUUACUCUGCAAAGUACUCCCAACUCAUCAUCAUGUUUCCUGCCAUGAAAGGUUUGGGAAGACUGGAGGAACCUGGAAGUGCCAUGAGCUUUAGUGGGAGGAAAAAAUGCAGGAAACGAAGAAAGAAGACAUAGAGAUACAGUAUGGAUAUUUGGUUCUCUUUCCUUCCUGGGCACAAGGAAGAAACACUUCCCAGUCCUCUUAUAGAGCUGUGUGACUAAUUCUGGCCUAUAAACUGUGAGUAGAAGUAACAAGUCGCUUUCAGAC
rnacentral:lncRNA from 1 species